CCGGGGGGUGGUGUUGGGGGGAGUGGGGGGCCCGGGGCCUCGGAGGGCCCCUGCAGAGGGGGGAGAGGGGCCCCCUCUGGAUCCCGAGGGGCUUUUCAUCAACCAGAGUCUUCUGUUUGACACACAGAUCGCCUAUGAGAUCCACUGCUAAGGGGACUCUGUGUGUGUAUGUGUAUUAGUGUGAAUGUGAGUGUGUGUCUGCCUGUGUGUGAGAGAAUUUGUUUGUGUGUGUGUGUGUGUAACAGAAAGAGAGAGAGAGAGUGUGUGUGUUUGUGUGUGUGUGUGUGUGUGUAUGUGUGUGUGUGUGAGAGAGAGAGAGUGAGAGAGUGAGUGGAAGAAAGGGAAAAAGCCUCUGGAGUUUAAUAAGGAAAAGCCCAAGAAUGAAACAGACCUAAAGAGCGUUGUCAGAGCUGACAUUAAACUAUGAGCACCGCUUCUCUCUCAUGUUUCACAAACCCCUUUGUCAUGCUGAGGCUGAGCCCUCGGUUACCUCAAUCUGGACAGACCGACGAACAGAACAAGCUGACGAAGGAAACUAACGAACCAAAAGACUGCCAGGUCAAAAGCCAAAGCUUUUACUGAAGACUGUUGAAAACGUGAAUGCAUUACUGGUGGAAUGUCAGAGGGAGGGAGGGUGUGAUUUGAUGUGACUUGGUUUUUCAAAGAGUAAGUUAUGAAUGCAGACGGACAGGAUGAGACAGAUUGAGACCUCAUCCUCUGAUGAGUGUGUGUUCCUUUUUCAAUGGCCUAUUUUAUUACUCCUACUAGUCAGUUACUUUUUCUGUUAUCUAUUAAUGAUCUCUUCUAUGAAUAUUCCCAUACGAACUACACAUUCUGAGUGUGUGUGUGUGUGUGUGUGUGUGUGUGUGAAUGUGUGUGUGUGUUUCAGAGAGAGAAAGAAUGUAAGAGAGGGAGUGAGAGCAAGAGACACACAGUAUAAGCGUGUGUGCUAUCUUCAGAGAGCAUUGUCUCUCUUCCCUCAUUCUCUUGAUGUCCAAAAAGCACUGUGAGUAAUGACCAUGUUGAACGAAGCUCAGACAUGUCUCUCUGUGUCUUCAUCCUCUCUGUAAGCCAGCAUUACGUGAAGGUUAUAGGUGUAGCUUUUCUUCUUUUUCUUAAAUUUCCUUUUCUGUUGCUUUGUGAGGAGGACUAACGGUCCUCUAUUUUUUUAAUUUUUUUGCACGCUCACCGCCGUUGUGUAGAGUUGAACAAAAAAAAAAUGUAAAAGAGUGCCAAGUCACUUCAGGGCAAGCUGUAUAAGCAUUUGGACAUUUCAAUGCUGUGUUGAGUGUUUUCUUUUGAAUUUAUUUAAGACAAUUAUGUUGGAACUUAUUCCCUUGUCUUUGUCUGGCAGUUGUCCGUCCUCUAUUUUAUCCUAAUAAAAUAUACAUUCAUGGAUUGUGUACGUGUGUGUGUGUUUGCAUGUGUGUGUUU
ensembl:lncRNA